GAUUCCCUUUAGUAACUGCGAGUGAAGAGGGAAAAGCUCAAAUUUAAAAUCUGGCAGUGUUUCACUGUCCGAGUUGUAACCUAGAGAAGUGUAACCUGUGCUGGACCGUGUACAAGUCUCCUGGAAUGGAGCAUCACAGAGGGUGAGAAUCCCGUCUUUGACAUGGACUACCAGUGCAUUGCGGUUGCGCUCUCAACGAGUCGAGUUGUUUGGGAAUGCAGCUCUAAAUGGGUGGUAAAUUCCAUCUAAAGCUAAAUAUUGGCGAGAGACCGAUAGCGAACAAGUACCGUGAGGGAAAGAUGAAAAGAACUUUGGAAAGAGAGUUAAACAGUAUGUGAAAUUGUUGAAAGGGAAACGUUUGAAGUCAGUCGCGUUGGUUGGGGAUCAGCCUGACAUUGUUGGGUGUAUUUCCUGGUCGACGGGCCAACAUCAGUUUUGACUGCCAGAAAAAGGCCAAAGGAAUGUGGCACCUUUGGGUGUGUUAUAGCCCUUGGUCGUAUAUGGUGGUUGGGACUGAGGAAAGCAGCGUGCCGAAAGGCCGGGUUUCGACCACGUUCACGCUGAGGAUGUUGGCAUAAUGGCUUUAAGCGACCCGUCUUGAAACACGGACCAAGGAGUCUAACAUGCAUGCGAGUGUUUGGGUGGAAAACCCUUACGCGUAAUGAAAGUGAAAGUUGAGAUCCCUGUCGCGGGGAGCAUCGACGCCCGGACCAGAACUU
rnacentral:rRNA from 1 species